AUGGACCUUGGGCGCCUCAACUAUGGGAUUGUGACCCUCAUCCCCAAGGUCCCGGGCGCCUCCGACAUUCGCCAGUUCCGCCCUAUCACAGUGAUUAAUGUGAUUUUCCGGAUCUUGGCCAAAGGGUACGCCAAUAGGGUGACCCUCCUCGCUGACACAAUUACCCAUCCGAACCAAUCCGCCUUCAUACAAGGCCGAUUUAUUCUCGAUGGGGUGUUAGUGUUUCACGAAGUCCUCCAUGAGGUCCGCCUAAAACGCCAUCGGGCGGUCUUUCUAAAGCUGGACUUUCACAAAGCCUACGACACGGUGCUGUUGGGGAACGUUGCAGAAAAUUAA
rnacentral:rRNA from 1 species